UUCUCUGUUCUGAAUUGUAGA
ensembl:piRNA 21ur-9595 ncRNA